rnacentral:rRNA from 1 species
CUACGUUCCUACGGGGGGCAGCAGUAGGGAAUCUUCCACAAUGGGCGAAAGCCUGAUGAAGCCACGCCGCGUGGGUGAAGAAGGUCUUCGGAUCGUAAAACCCUGUUGUUAGAGAAGAAAGUGCGUGAGAGUAACUGUUCACAUUUCGACGGUAUCUAACCAGAAAGCCACGGCUAACUACGUGCCAGCAGCCGCGGUAAUACGUAGGUGGCAAGCGUUAUCCGGAUUUAUUGGGCGUAAAGGGAACGCAGGCGGUCUUUUAAGUCUGAUGUGAAAGCCUUCGGCUUAACCGGAGUAGUGCAUUG